GGUACCUUCUUUUUAGGAAAUGCAAACUAUUUCUAGUACCUCUGCCAUGGCCCCCAAAUGUCAACUUUUCUCUGCCACAUGUGUAGAGAUAAACAAUCAUUAGCUGAUUAGUGAAUAUGUAAGGGAAUAGGUGUGCAUCCACACUGUAGAAUUAAUAGAGUUUGAUACCACUUUAAAUGUCAUUGCUUAAUGCUAUGAAAUUCUGGGAGUUGUAGUUUGAUGAAGCACCAGUACUCUUUGGCAAAGAAGACUAAAUACAUUGUCUUUGUGACUCUCAUAUGCUUUCAUGUUCUAUGCCUGCAAAAGACCCCAUUUAAUGCUUUUUAGAGUAGAGUGAAAAAAAUUAUGAACAAUACACAUACAGUGUUCCUUCGCAACUUUGCGGUUCGCUUUUCGCAGACUUGCUGUUUCGCGGGUUUUUGCCUCCUGGCAAUGAUGGACUGUAGAAGGGGGUUUCACCCUCUCCCUUGGGAGAGAGACAGCCAAUCAUAAAAAAGAGAGGAGAUACAAAGCAGUAUGUAAAUCACGGUCUUAUAGCUCCAUCCUUUUAG